rnacentral:rRNA from 1 species
AGAGUUUGAUCAUGGCUCAAAGCGAACGCUGGCGGCAGGCCUAACACAUGCAAGUCGAGCGCCCCGCAAGGGGAGCGGCAGACGGGAGAGUAACACGUGGGAACAUGCCCUUCAGUACGGAACAACCAAGGGAAACUUUGGCUAAUACCGUAUACGCCCGUAAGGGGAAAGAUUUAUCGCUGAAGGAUUGGCCCGCGUCUGAUUAGCUAGUUGGUGGGGUAAUGGCCCACCAAGGCGACGAUCAGUAGCUGGUCUGAGAUGAUGAUCAGCCUCACUGGGACUGAGACACGGCCCAGACUCCUACGGGAGGCAGCAGUGGGGAAUAUUGGACAAUGGGCGCAAGCCUGAUCCAGCCAUGCCGCGUGAGUGAUGAAGGCCUUAGGGUUGUAAAGCUCUUUCGUCAGGGAAGAUAAUGACGGUACCUGAAGAAGAAGCCCCGGCUAACUUCGUGCCAGCCGCCACGGUAAUUC